rfam:Ovis aries breed Texel chromosome 2, whole genome shotgun sequence.
UCCCCAGUGGCCCAGUGGUUAGACCUCUGCGCUUUCACUGCAGGGGGGCUGGGUUCGAUACCUAGUUGGGGAA